rnacentral:rRNA from 1 species
GUUUACAACUCCCAAACCCCAAUGUGAACGUUACCAAUCUGUUGCCUCGGCGGGAUUCUCUUGCCCCGGGCGCGUCGCAGCCCCGGAUCCCAUGGCGCCCGCCGGAGGACCAACUCCAAACUCUUUUUUUCUCUCCGUCGCGGCUCCCGUCGCGGCUCUGUUUUAUUUUUGCUCUGAGCCUUUCUCGGCGACCCUAGCGGGCGUCUCGAAAAUGAAUCAAAACUUUCAACAACGGAUCUCUUGGUUCUGGCAUCGAUGAAGAACGCAGCGAAAUGCGAUAAGUAAUGUGAAUUGCAGAAUUCAGUGAAUCAUCGAAUCUUUGAACGCACAUUGCGCCCGCCAGUAUUCUGGCGGGCAUGCCUGUCCGAGCGUCAUUUCAACCCUCGAACCCCUCCGGGGGGUCGGCGUUGGGGAUCGGCCCCUCACCGGGCCGCCCCCGAAAUACAGUGGCGGUCUCGCCGCAGCCUCUCCUGCGCAGUAGUUUGCACACUCGCACCGGGAGCGCGGCGCGGCCACAGCCGUAAAACACCCCAAACUUCUGAAAUGUUGACCUCGGAUCAGGUAGGAAUACCCGCUGAACUUAAGCAUAUCAAUA